rnacentral:rRNA from 1 species
AAUCCAUAGGUUAAUGAGGCGAACCGGGGGAACUGAAACAUCUAAGUACCCCGAGGAAAAGAAAUCAACCGAGAUUCCCCCAGUAGCGGCGAGCGAACGGGGAGGAGCCCAGAGCCUGAAUCAGCAUGUGUGUUAGUGGAAGCGUCUGGAAAGGCGCGCGAUACAGGGUGACAGCCCCGUACACAAAAGCGCAUGUGCUGUGAGCUCGAUGAGUAGGGCGGGACACGUGGUAUCCUGUCUGAAUAUGGGGGGACCAUCCUCCAAGGCUAAAUACUCCUGACUGACCGAUAGUGAACCAGUACCGUGAGGGAAAGGCGAAAAGAACCCCGGCGAGGGGAGUGAAAAAGAACCUGAAACCGUGUACGUACAAGCAGUGGGAGCACCCUUUGGGGUGUGACUGCGUACCUUUUGUAUAAUGGGUCAGCGACUUAUAUUCUGUAGCAAGGUUAACCGUAUAGGGGAGCCGGAGGGAAACCGAGUCUUAAUUGGGCGUUAAGUUGCAGGGUAUAGAC